GAGGGAGAAGCACUGCGGGCUUCUUAGCGGACAACGACCACCCAUCUUCCAGCACUGUCUUGCAGUUAGUAAUGGCCGCCUUCCUCAUCAUGAAGUUGUCCACCGUACCUGCAUAAACAGAAAUGAAGUCGAAGAAACUUAGUAAUAGCUCGAACAAUCAGAAAGAUAGAGAGACUCUUAUCUCAAGGCUAAGCAGGACUUAGCCCCAUAUUGAC
rnacentral:lncRNA from 1 species